AACGUAGGAGGCAAGCGUUAUCCGGAUUCACUGGGCGUAAAGCGCGUGCAGGCGGUUCGGAAAGUUGGGCGUGAAAUCUCCCGGCUCAACUGGGAGGGGUCGUUCAAUACUUCCGGACUUGAGAGUGGUAGAGGAAGAUGGAAUUCCCGGUGUAGUGGUGAAAUGCGUAGAUAUCGGGAGGAACACCAGUGGCGAAAGCGAUCUUCUGGACCAUUUCUGACGCUCAGACGCGAAAGCUAGGGUAGCAAACGGG
rnacentral:rRNA from 1 species